UUUCUAAACUCUAAACUCUGAGUUCUUUUGUAUGUUCCAGCUUACCUCACAAAGGUCCUUGCCACUCCUCCCUCCCGGGACACAGUCCCUUCCAGGGGCCCCUGUAAGACUACAGCCCAUCUCUUCUAAUUCAGGCAAUUUCUGCUUUCUUCUCUGUGGUACUACUUUCCCUUGAGGCAAGGGGAACACCAGGAGCCUGGCUACCUGCAGGGAAAAGGCACGUAGAGUAAAAACAUCCAUCUCAGAGCAAAUGACAUCCCCAUCUGGCUAUGCAUCUCGGCAGGGCCAGGAGAGUGGGCUGAGUAAAGAACAAUGAGGGCAGGCCAGCUUCACCCUGGAUGUGAUCUCCUUUGAAGCAAGAAGGAGUCCUAAAAACAUGGAAAAUUCCCCAACAAGGACUUACUUCUGGCUUUGCAAGAUUCUAGCUAGAGCUGUGCCUCCAGCCUGGGACGAUAACAACCCUACAAGGUAAACAGCUUUCGUAAUGUCUGCCCAGCUACCAGGAUUCCUCUUAACCCCCAGAAAGAGGGGAAGAGGUAGCAGCCAUCUUGAACAAUUCCCUAUGAUGAGCCCAAACUCUUUGUUUUAGUGGAUUGAUCCAGAGGUGAUGCCUGCUCCAAGCUGGGCGAUUAGAUGAAAUGGACUAUGCCUGCAGAGCCUCCUUGAAAAUGGACAACAACAGAAACUGCCUCUUCUACUGGCUAGUCAUAUGACCUCAAGUUUUCUGUCCCGCUGGGCACUCCGGCCUUAUAUUCUCCAUGAGAGCGCUGCUCUGCUACCUGCGCUCCGGCCAAACACAGCAGAUAACCUGCCUUCUACACAGUCCCUUCUGAAAGCCUGGACUAGAGUGCAGAGCACAGAGAUCCCCUUGGUAACUCCUCUUCCCCAGCCCCACACUGCAUUGGGUUAAAUCCUAGGGAGGAAAACAAGACAAUCUCUGCAUCUAUUGACUGAGUUCAUAAUUUACAGAAUUUUCUCUUACAUUUCACCUAUGACUACCUGCUUAUUUUACACGACAAAAGGCCAGUAGAGGUAAAUUAUCUAAUA
rnacentral:lncRNA from 1 species